rnacentral:rRNA from 1 species
UACAGAGGUCUCAAGCGUUGUUCGGAUUCAUUGGGCGUAAAGGGUGCGUAGGCGGCGCGGUAAGUCGGGUGUGAAAUCUCGGAGCUUAACUCCGAAACUGCAUUCGAUACUGCCGUGCUUGAGGACUGGAGAGGAGACUGGAAUUUACGGUGUAGCGGUGAAAUGCGUAGAUAUCGUAAGGAAGACCAGUGGCGAAGGCAGCUCGCUGGGACGUUACUGACGCUGAGACGCGAAAGCGUGGGGAGCAAACAGG